rnacentral:lncRNA from 1 species
GUUUUGACCUUUUUAUUCAAAGCAGCUUCUCACAAUGUAUAAAUACUGCAUAUUAACACACAUGAAAAAUACAACUUCUAAGGCACCCAGAAAUGUGUCCAUACACUAGUUACAGGACCAUUCACAAAGAGAAUUUGAUCUAGACAAUCAAUAUUUGUUAUAGCAGAAGAUACAAGUCCCUCAGGACUGCGCCCAUUCUCGGGAAAUAUUUACAGCAGGAAGAGAAAGGGCUCUGCACCUGGGAUUGUGGGAUAUUGAAUAUUCAUAAUGACAAAUAUCAGAAACUAGUUGAAGUCUCUCCUAUGAUCAUCUGGCAAAAUAAGUUAAACGCCUCAAUUUGCAAAGUUGUUCAUUUGAUUUUGGUGUGUGUACAUGAGAUACACAGGGAGCCACAAACCCCCCAAAGGGUUGGGUGAAUAAUGGUGGCCUGCUCCAUCCCAGAGCGCUGGCAGCAAACCUUCCUACUAGACAGCUUGGUGUAGCUUCACUGCCCAUGCUGCUCAAUGGGUCGGUGGGUGGGGGUUUCUGUACUGUUUUCAGGACGUGGGAACGGACCUGUUGUUUGCCACGGGAUGGGAAUGAAGACCGUGCUCCCUCCAAAUGUCCUGUGGUUGUUCUAAGUGGGUCUACAUAAGACAAAGUGAGGGGGAAAUCUGGUCAUCCUUGGGCUGACUCAGACAGCAGAGAUGGAGCAACAAAUCUACAUCGGAGACUGCUUUUGCAGUUCAGAAAUGGCCGAUUGAAUUAGCCUGGGGAUCACCAGAACUCUGCUUACUGGGGGAGGCUGGUUUCCAUCGCAGGGACAGCUUCGUCCUAUCCCAGCCAAAGUGAGUGUGGGGCCACUUCUGUACAAAUUGGAAUAUCGGUGGGACUGAGCAGAUGUCAUUGAGCUGUGGUCUCAUCUGUCUGUCUCGGAUACUCACAGCCGUGAUCUCUAUGUAACUAAUGGUUUGAGGGGGAGAAAUGUAAUUCUUUGGUCCUUGGUUUCUAAGAAAGGCAAAUUUUUCACAAUCCUGUGAACAUGGAGAUAAGUUGGUGGAUGACAAUAAGACUGGGUCUAAAUAGAUAGAGAGCGAAUCAGACACAGCGCCAUAAAUUCUAGCCCCUCCUCUCUUCCUAGGGCCAUCUUGAGGGUGCCCAUGCAAGCAUUUUCAUCUCACUGGAUUUGGUCAUGUCUGUGUAUACAUUUUAGCCAGAAUCAGCUAGGGCAAAAACGUCAGUGAAAUAGCCUACUACAACAUCUGUUCUUGUUAGUCAAAAGGAUGAGGUCACCACAAAAGAUGAAAUCAUUUAUCCACAUUUUGAACGUUCGCUGGAUAUUAAUUUAUCUGGAGUUAACUAUCCCAUAGACUCAAUCUAUUAAAUCUUGGGCUAACCAGAUAGAACCAAACUAUUGGUUCCAUCCAGUUUUCUUGGCCAUCCCGUGGGGGGUAAAUUACAGAGUGAGCCCAGGCUUACAAAUCUCACACCAAAGUUUGCCACUAAGAUGACCCUGGAUGACUGGCACAGCCUUACGGUAAGUAUUGUGUCUAAUUCGCCCAUGCCCUACAGACCCAGGCUUAAUAUGGCUUAACAUACAUAGUUAAUUGGAUUGACACAGAGAACACAGCCAGGAUGCUGAUUGCUUAGCUGAAAGAUAAUUAAGAUUGUCUACACAGUAAGUCUCUUACAUAAACAUCGUUAAUGUUUUCUAAGGAACGCUGGUCUUGGCUAGACUGGACUUCGCAGACAGCCGCCCCGAGUCGAUGAUGGCCAGGAGCAGGAUGCAGGUACAGUUUACUCAAACAAAACCCAGCCUGAUAGUAUUCACGUCGGCUGCAUUGGUUAAAACAACCAGACGGCGACCCCUUGACUCGGUUCUUUUGCAGGCCAGAUAGAAUGGCCACAGGUAAUUCUCAUCCACCUGGUCAACCAGCACAGGAUGGACUGUGAACCCGACCCACAACAUCAGACCCUCCGUCACACUGUUUUGUCACAACCCGUGUUAAUUGGUUUAAACAACCCGUAUUCACAUUUUUGCAACAAACUUAAGGCUCGGUUUUCAGCCACCAUCAAUCGCAUUUCUUCAGGGAAGUUUUUUUUUUAGCACUACAUAUGUAGUUACAAAGGUUGAAACAUGGAACCCAAUGGUAAGACCUCUUCAAGAAUUGAUACUUUUUCAAAUUCUACUUCAAGCUUAAUUAUUUCAAGAGAAAGAAAAAAGAGAGAGAGAGAAACGUGUCCUCUAACAUUUAAGAGCAUUAGAUUCUAAUGCAGAACUAUUGGCACCAAACCAGUAUGCUAUUGGUUGAAAGAACAGUUACUAAUUGUGUAAAAGAUUGCCU